CAUAAUUGUCCCGGGAAAUCAAAACCCGGCCCCUCCUAAAUCCGCAACUUCUCCGAAAUCCAAUCCGUUUAUACUCGUUCACUCUUGAUCCAAACAACGAGGCUUCUUCAACAAUGAUAUCGUGAAUCAGGAAUAGUUUAGUUGCAAGGAGUGCGGCGGGAGCGUUUGUGGAAAAGUCGAGUGCUCCGGUUGUAAGGGCUGUGUUCAUAAUUCCUUGUGGCAACGGCAAAGAGAAGGAUGCUCUACCCCGGGAACAAAUCCAGCGGAGACAGAGUGGGAACAUAGAUUUAACAAAUUGGAGCGAAAUGCAGUUCUUUAUCAACGAAAAACCUGAUUCCAAGCGGAAG